rnacentral:rRNA from 1 species
UGAACGCUGGCGGCGUGCCUACUACAUGCACGUCGAGCGAACAGACGCGGAGCUUGCUCCUCUGACGUUAGCGGCGGACGGGUGAGUAACACGUGGAUAACCUACCUAUAAGACUGGGAUAACUUCGGGAAACCGGAGCUAAUACCGGAUAAUAUAUUGAACCGCAUGGUUCAAUAGUGAAAGACGGUUUUGCUGUCACUUAUAGAUGGAUCCGCGCCGCAUUAGCUAGUUGGUAAGGUAACGGCGUACCAAGGCGACGAUGCGUAGCCGACCUGAGAGGGUGAUCGGCCACACUGGAACUGAGACACGGUCCAGACUCCUACGGGAGGCAGCAGUAGGGAAUCUUCCGCAAUGGGCGAAAGCCUGACGGAGCAACGCCGCGUGAGUGAUGAAGGCCUUCGGAUCGUAAAACUCUGUUAUUAGGGAAGAACAAAUGUGUAAGUAACUAUGCACGUCUUGACGGUACCUAAUCAGAAAGCCACGGCUAACUACGUG